GACAGAGGGUGCAAACGUUGUUCGGAAUUACUGGCGUAAAGCGCGCGCAGGCGGUCUUCCAAGUCAGUGGUGAAAGCCCGGAGCUCAACUCCGGAACUGCCAUUGAAACUGUUGGACUUGAGUAUGAGAGAGGUGAGUGGAAUUCCCAGUGUAGAGGUGAAAUUCGUAGAUAUUGGGAAGAACACCGGUGGCGAAGGCGGCUCACUGGCUCAUUACUGACGCUCAGGCGCGACAGCGUGGGGAUCAAACAGG
rnacentral:rRNA from 1 species